rnacentral:rRNA from 1 species
GAUGAACGCUGGCGGCGUGCCUAAUACAUGCAAGUCGAGCGAACCGGGGGCGGGUGAGUAACACGUGGAUACCCUCCUCUGAGGCUGGGUUAACUUCGGGAAACCGGAUCUAAAUACGACCCUUAUACCUGGAUCCGCGCUGCAUUAGCUAGUUGGUAAGGUAACGGCUUACAAAGGCAACGAUGCAUAGCCGACCUGAGAGGGUGAUCGGCCACACUGGAACGGAGACACGGUCCAGACUCCUACGGGAGGCAGCAGUAGGGAAUCUUGCGCAAUGGGCGAAAGCCUGACGGAGCAACGCCGCGUGAGUGAUGAAGGUCUUCGGAUUGUAAAACUCUGUUAGUAGGGAAGCGGUACCUAAUCAGAAAGCACCGGCUAACUACGUGCCAGCAGCCGCGGUAAUUC